GACGAACGCUGGCGGCGUGCUUAACACAUGCAAGUCGAACGAGAGGCGGACGGGGGAGUAAUGUAAGGGGACUGCUCGAUAGAGGGGGAUAACUACCGGAAACAGUGGGUAAUACCGCAUACUGUAGGAGGAAUCAGAUGGGAUUAGCUAGUUGGUAAGGUUAUGGCGUACCUAGGCGACGAUCCCUAGCUGGUCUGGGAGGAGUAUCAGCCAAACGGGGACUGAGACACGGCCCGGACUCCUCCGGUGGCAGCCGUGGGGAAUGUUGCACAAUGUGCGCAAGCCUGAUACAGCCGUGCCGCGUGUAUGAAGAAGGCCCUAGGGUUGUACAGUACUUUCAGUCGGUAGGCGUUACCGACAGAAGAAGCACCGGCUAACUCCGUGCCAGCAGCCGCGGUAAUAC
rnacentral:rRNA from 1 species